rnacentral:lncRNA from 1 species
GUUAUGCCCGCGUCACACUGUCCCGAUUUUUAUAUACGAUAGACACCCGAAUGCGAAAAUUGUAAGUUCGUACGAAGUUGGUCCCGAUCUCGUUAAAAUACCAAAAAAGUGACCGAAGCAAGUACGAUUAAUAACGAAGUCUAUACGAUGGUGCCGAAAUUAUAUACGAUAGCAAAAGAUGGACAUACAAAGGUUAACCGAAGACGGGUAUUUAAGCUUCAUAUCUCAGACGAAGCCUACACGAUGGGUCACGAUGGCUACACGAUGGAUUACGAAGGCUACACGAUGGAUUACGAUGAUGGCGCGAUGGCCAUACGAUGUCUAAAAGACGUCGUGUACAGCUUACGAUGUAUUUAAAUUAUAUGCCGAAAGGCAUCCCGCGUUUUAAAUUGUUUGAUCAAUAUUGAAUAUAUAUUAUAUUGUACAUUUAUGUGUUGCGUGUAGAUAAAAUUGUUAUGGACACUCUAGAACCAAAAUGCUCAAAACUUGGUAUGGUGUUACUCGUUAAGAAUAUCUUAAGCGCUAUUGACUUUAAAGUUCAAAGGUCAAGGUCACAGUGGCAGUUGUAAUACAAGGCAAUAUCACCCUUG